UACGGGACCAUUGCUUGUGAUUAUGCUCUCUGCAGCAGAAGCAUUAGCAUUUAAAAUUGCCUCACCAUCGCCUGUUUUUGGAGACCCUGCAUUAGGGGAAGGAAGGCCUGAGAUACGCUCAUCCAUUUGCACAGACCCUACAUUAAGGGAAGGAAGGCCCGAGAUACGCUCAUCCAUUUGCACAGACCCUACAUUAAGGGAAGGAAGGCCCAAGAUACCCUCAUCCAUUUGCACUGACCCUGCAUUUGGGGAAGCAAGACCGGAGACACUCCCGUCCAAUUGCUUUGGUUUGUUCAGAGCAUGGCAAUGUGGGCAGUAAUAAGUGAUAAAUGGGAAAU
rnacentral:lncRNA from 1 species